rnacentral:lncRNA from 12 species
AUUUCAGUCCUUCAUGCUGCUUCCAACACUCUUGCUAACAGUUGGUUUUAACUUCUAGGCAAAAUUUGCAUUGUCUGUAGCUCAAUGGAAUUAUAUACAGAGCAUAUGAAUAAGUCAUGAAGAGAUUUCCACCAGCAAAGGUUGAAGUGCAUUUUAAAACUCAAGCCAAGGUUUUUGAUGGGCAGAGAUUCUGAGGAUAUGAACUGCACAUAGCACCCCAGCUGGAGGUACCAUCAGAAUGCAGGCGACAGCACUUCUGCAGAGUGUUAUAGAAAUCUGUACAAAUGUGUGCAGCUGUUUUCCUUCAGCAAAUGAUGGUAUUUAUUUGGAGACCACCUGCAAUUUCAUGGCUGCUGAUUCCUGUUGCCAUAAACCAUUCAGAGAGAACAGGAAGAUCCAAUGAGUAGGCACUGUGCACUGAAAAUGUCAUUGUAAAACUAAGGUGAGAGAGACAAUGGCUCUAGAGGUGAACUCUGAAGACCUAAACCUUCUCUAAGGAACGUGACUAGAUUUUGUUAUUCAAACUUGG